ACUGCAACUAUCCAGUGAAAGCAGGCACCUGUAAGUUAGUUCUGACUAGAUUCUACUACAACACGUUGACAUUUUUAUGUGAGCCCUUCAUCUUUUCUGGAUGCCAAGGCAACAGAAACAACUUUCACCAUAAGUAUAUCUGCGAAAAAUACUGUCUUCCUGAACAGGACAGAGGACAAGGAAGAGAGAACGCUUAAUACAACAGAAGGAAGAACAAGGAAAAAGGAAUAUUCCUGAUGAAAAAAAAAAUGAUGCCGAAAUUGUUCUACAUAAAUUGGACUCUUUCUGGAAGUUUUUUGAAUUCAGAAUUCUUGCUCAUUUCUUUGCACAGCUUUGCCUUUCAUACCGAUUCAAGGUAUAAAAUUUUAACUGAAAAUUAAAA